CGGUCAAGGCCAAGGCCUCCAAGGUGUGCCUGCAGUGCCCCGGCUGCCGCGCCGUCCUCCCCGACGUCCCGCUGCCUCCGGGCCUGCAGGGCUUACGCUGUGCCGCGCAAGUGCAACAGUAAGAACGUCGGGAGGGUGAAGUGUCCCGUGGACCCGUACUUCAUCGUCCCGGACCGCUGCGUUUGCGUGGACUUCCAGACGCUUCGCCUGCAGGAGUCUCCGGACGCUGUGCCUCACGGAGAGAUGCCCUUCACCUCCAGCUGUACUGUGACCAGUAGGAGGAGCGCAGUCCGAUGGAGGCGUCCAGUCCAGAGUGGUUUGUUCGGCUGAGUCUUGACUUCUCGUCCUCAGGUAUCUGUGYGACCGUGUGGUGCCUGGGAACGGGGUGACCAUCAUGGGUCGCGGUGCCACCGGGUCAGUGUCUCCACAGGAGGAGGAGCUGUGAGCUCUUGCUGCUUCUCCUAACAUCUAUACGACUCUCUGGCCCGCUCCGUAGCUCCGUCCAUCUAYGGCAGCGACGAUCUGAAGAAGGCCAUCGCCUGUUUGCUGUUUUGAGGCUCGAGGAAGAGGCUGCCCGACGGUCUCACUCGCAGGGGCAACGUCCACCUGCUGAUGCUCGGAGACCCUGGAACAGCCAAGUCUCAGCUGCUCAAGUUCGUGGAGUGAUGCUCGCCAAUCGGGGUGAAWAAUCCUAAUCCUGAGCCGAUCGGUUCGCAGUGCCCYGCCUCUCCCCGCACCAACAAAAAGUGUGGCUCAGAGAGAAUUAAAAUCCCUGGUUUGAACUGCUCAGCCACAAACACGUYAGCCUGCACGGCCAAACAAACUGUCAAAAGCCGCAAUGAAAAGGACAAGAUUGUUGGACAAAUGUGCGUUGUUCAAAACGACGACCUGCUCCAGUGUUAUGAAACCAUCAGAGACUCAGAAGAGUUUGAUGCCACCACUGUGAGAGAAGCUGGAGGAUAUGUGAGGCUGUUGGAGGACGACACUUUCAGCUUCUUUCUGAAACUGUUCCAUCUUGUCAUGCCUCAUGUGGACAUUCUCUACAGCCCAGCUCCAGAAGCGGACCAUCGACUCUGUCUUUGUUCAGAGAAUCAUGCAGCAGUUCACAGACAACAUAGAAAAGUGCAGAGAUUUCAUUCCCUACUCUCUGUAAAGAACAUGAUGUGUCUCAGCAGGAGAAAAAAAUGUUGCUCACUGGGCUCAGGUGAUCUUCACAUCUCCUCUGACCACAGCUGAAACUGAGAGGAGUUUCUCAACACUGAAGACAAUCCAGACUUUCCUCAGUACCUGUUUUCAGACCCAAGGGRUUUUCUUGGAGAUCACCUGAUCCUGGUCACGCCAACCUGAGAAGUCUCGAGCCACUCACCUGUUCAUGCGCUGCCACCUUGCCUCCAACACACCUGUAAAUAGAGCACUCACCUGURAAWACYCACUUUUGGAUUUUUGGAUACUGGACCUGCUCCUCCACACAAAACCUAAAGCUCUCACCYGUUACAAAACUACACCAUCACCUCUCAGAAAUAACUUCCUGGAAUUACCUGUCAGUUUACUCACCUCUGCCAACUCUCUGCUUCCAGGUCCCGUUC